GAUGAACGCUAGCGGCAGGCCUAAUACAUGCAAGUCGAGGGGCAGCACGGUAGCAAUACUGGUGGCGACCGGCAAACGGGUGCGGAACACGUACGCAACCUUCCUUUAAGAGAUGAAUAGCCCGAAGAAAUUCGGAUUAAUGCAUCGUAAGAUUGUGGGAUGGCAUCAUCCAGCAAUUAAAGAUUUAUUUCGCUUAAAGAUGGGCGUGCGCCUGAUUAGGAGUUGGUGAGGUAACGGCUCACCAAGCCGACGAUCAGUAACUGGCGUGAGAGCGCGACCAGUCACACGGGCACUGAGACACGGGCCCGACUCCUACGGGAGGCAGCAGUAAGGAAUAUUGGUCAAUGGACGCAAGUCUGAACCAGCCAUGCCGCGUGAAGGAUGAAAGCCCUCU
rnacentral:rRNA from 1 species